rnacentral:rRNA from 1 species
AGAGCGAACGCUGGCGGCAGGCCUAAUACAUGCAAGUCGAACGGACCCUUCGGGGUUAGUGGCGGACGGGUGAGUAACACGUGGGAACGUGCCCUUUGGUUCGGAACAACUCAGGGAAACUUGAGCUAAUACCGAAUGUGCCCCCAUCCUUAAACAAGAUGGGUGGGAAAGAUUUAUCGCCAUUGGAGCGGCCCGCGUCUGAUUAGCUAGUUGGUGGGGUAAAGGCUCACCAAGGCGACGAUCAGUAGCUGGUCUGAGAGGAUGAUCAGCCACACUGGGACUGAGACACGGCCCAGACUCCUACGGGAGGCAGCAGUAGGGAAUCUUGCGCAAUGGGCGAAAGCCUGACGCAGCCAUGCCGCGUGAAUGAUGAAGGUCUUAGGAUUGUAAAAUUCUUUCAGCGGGGACGAUAAUGACGGUACCCGCAGAAGAGCCCCGGCUAACUUCGUGCCAGCAGCCGC